rnacentral:tRNA from 1 species
GCCGGUAUAGCUUAGUUGGUAAAGCACCUGACUUGUAAUCAGGAGUGACGGGUUCGACUCCUGUUACCGGCUCCA